ACUCCUACGGGAGGCAGCAGUAAGGAAUAUUGNGACAAUGGGCGAAAGCCUGACGCAGCAACGCCGCGUGUGGGAUGAAGGUCUUCGGAUUGUAAACCACUUUUCGGGGGGAAGAGGAAGGACGGUACCCCCGGAAUAAGUCUCGGCUAAUACGUGCCAGCAGCCGCGGUAAU
rnacentral:rRNA from 1 species